rnacentral:rRNA from 1 species
UACGUAGGCAGCAAGCGUUGUUCGGAAUUACUGGGCGUAAAGGGUGUGUAGGCGGUUGUUUAAGUUUGGUGUGAAAUCUCCCGGCUCAACUGGGAGGGUGCGCCGAAUACUGAAUGACUUGGAGUGCGGGAGAGGAAAGUGGGAAUUCCUGGUGUAGCGGUGAAAUGCGUAGAUAUCAGGAGGAACACCAAUAGCGAAGGCAGCUCGCUGGGACGGUGCUGACGCUGAGGCGCGAAAGCGUGGGGAGCGAACAGG